AGCAGCUGUGCGCUGGGGACACACGAGAUGCUCACCCUCCCUGCCCUCCAGGAGCUUGGACUCAGCUGAGAUGCCUGGUAUCCAACUGCACUUCUCCAUGUGUGCAUUGUCCCCUGAGCUGGCAAGAAGAUCCUACUAGUUGGUCUGCAUGCCAUGCCAGCUCGGCCUUGCACCCUGGGGGCCCAGCUGUUGUCCACACCAAGGGUGGCCUACAGAGGGAAGUGAGGACCUUGGGACUUCCUCCAGGACAGCCCUCGCUGUCCAAAUCUCCACCUGCUGCAGAGCUGCCUCCAGUCAAGCCCUUGUUUCCAGCUUUCUGUGCCCUAAAUAAACUUCUGCUGGGAUUGAGCCAUCAGCAUUCUGUGGUGGGCGUCGCUGCUGCGAGGUUGCCCUCGUGCACACAAGCUCCUCACAGGACUUCCAGGAUGAUAUGGAAGAGUGACUGAGAGCAGCCGCCCGGUGCUUCCCAACCUUAGAGGGAGGUCACGGGCAGUCUCCCUGCGAUGCUGGCCACAGGGUCUCGCUGUGUCGCCCAGGCUGGAGGGCAGUGGUGUGAUCUGGACUCACUGCAGCCUCGACCUGUUGGGCUCAAGUGAUCCUCUCACGUCAGCCUCCAAGUAGCCAAGACCACAGGCAGGCGUCACCAUGCCCAGCCCCCAUGAUGACUUUACUUUUCUUCUUGAACCUGAUGGAGUCUCACUCUGUUGCCCAGGCUGAAGUGCAAUGGCGCGAUCAUGACUCACUGCAACCUCCGCCUCCUGGGUUCAAGCGACUCUCCUGCCUCAGCCUCCAGAGUUGCUGGGAUUACAGGCACCCACAACCAUACCCUAAAUUUUGUACUUUUAGUAAAGAUGGGGUUUCACCAUUUGGCCAGGCUUGUCUUGAACUCCCAAUUACCAAUUU
rnacentral:lncRNA from 10 species